UAAUUUAAAUGUUUCGCAGUUGAUGAGUUGGGGUGGUGACAGAACUGGGGCCCUGUCCCCUCCCCUGUCCUAGCUGAGCCCCCUGGUGCCACCGGCCCAGCCCUGGCCCUUCAGUGCCACAACUGGACUCUGCAGCCGUGAGCCAAGGCCAACGCCAGCAGAGCCGCUGCUUUCAGUGUGUUUUAUUUUAUUUUAUUUUGCUUUUAUUUUAUUUUAUUGUGUUUUCCUUCCCCCUCCCAGUGGGGGCCCCUGCAGCGCUUUGGCUCCUGGCCCCCCCUCCUCCCAGCCACACCCAGUGGCUUUCUGGCCGUGAGCUUCGUGAAGAGGAAGGAAAUUUGUUAAAAAAAAAAAAAA